rnacentral:rRNA from 1 species
UGACGAAGGGGGCUAGCGUUGUUCGGAAUUACUGGGCGUAAAGCGCGCGCAGGCGGCUAUCCAAGUCAGUGGUGAAAGCCCGGAGCUCAACUCCGGAACUGCCAUUGAAACUGUUUAGCUUGAGGACGAGAGAGGUGAGUGGAAUUCCCAGUGUAGAGGUGAAAUUCGUAGAUAUUGGGAAGAACACCGGUGGCGAAGGCGGCUCACUGGCUCGGUAUCUGACGCUCAGGCGCGACAGCGUGGGGAUCAAACAGG